rnacentral:rRNA from 1 species
AUACGUAGGGGGCGAGCGUUGUCCGGAAUGAUUGGGCGUAAAGGGCGCGUAGGCGGCCGCUUAAGUCUGGAGUGAAAGCCCUGUUUUCAAGAUGGGAAUUGCUUUGGAUACUGGGGGGCUUGAGUGCAGGAGAGGUUAUCGGAAUUCCCGGUGUAGCGGUGAAAUGCGUAGAGAUCGGGAGGAACACCAGUGGCGAAGGCGGGUAACUGGACUGCAACUGACGCUGAGGCGCGAAAGUGUGGGGAGCAAACAGGAUUAGAUACCCUGGUAGUCCACACUGUAAACGAUGAAUGCUAGGUGUAAGAGGUAUCGACCCCUUUUGUGCCGGAGUCAACACAAUAAGCAUUCCGCCUGGGAGUACGGCCGCAAGGUUGAAACUCAAAUGAAUUGACGGGG